rnacentral:lncRNA from 1 species
GCCAACGGUAAAAAAUUUUUGACAGCCCUAGCUGACGUCAGCGUGACGCCAGCGCUGACGUCAGCACCCGCGUUUUGGACCUGGGGCUGGUUUGGCCUUCGGGCUGGCCCGAGUUGGUGGGUCCCACACCAAACCCGGGCCUGGGCUGCACGCUGGAGCGAAAUUUUUUUUUUUUUCUGCCCUUGCCUCGGGCUGGGCUCCUUCGCUGGAGCCACUCUUAAGGUUUCAUUUUCAGCUUUUGCAAGUAAUAUGAAAAAAAAACCAUAAACCAAAACACCAAGUGAUUUGACAUGCAUGCAUGAUGCAUAUAACAUGUUAUUAUUUAGAAGAUAAAUAUAUAAUUGUUUUAUCUUUUCGGACUGUGAAUAUAAACUAUUAAUUGUGCGAUUCUUAAAUGAAUAUCUAGUUCUGACUCAUAAUUCGAAUAUAUAUAUAUCUAUGUAUUUGACAAAAUCACGUUAUUUAUUAGUAUAACAUGCUCUUUUUCUAACAAACGAUAAAAUAUUUACAAAAUACUUUUACGACGUACCAAUACAUCAACAACAAAAUUACAUUAUACACGUAUGCUGCUGCCGGAAGUGCCUUUUUAUAAUUAAUUUGGCCAUUGAUUUGCCCCUCUACCAACCAUUGGUUUAAGAAAAAUAUGGAGUAAAUUAGGUUGAACAGGACGAAAUAAUUACUUGUUUUAAACGGUUGUUGUUGGCCUUCAAAUAAUAAUUAUGUCACGUAAUUACCCAAGCCUCAAUAAUUUUAUGAAAAGAAACAAAACCAUUUUAAUAUGAUUAUAAUAUUGCUCAACAACAAUAUGCCUUAACCACAAAACCAGCUAAUUAUCUAAGAAAACUAAUUGAACAAAACUAAAGAAAAUUCCACCAAGGUUCAGUUUUGUUUGUUCAUGAUCAUAAUAUUAAUCAGAUCUCCGAGGAAAAUUAGACUUUUAAUCAUAAGACUCAAGGGCAAUGUAUCUAUACCUAAAUAUAUCAAAAUUAAAAUAAGCUAAAAGAAUAUAUUAAUUCAUAAUUGAAGACACUUGAGAGAGAGAGAGAGAGAGAGAGAGAGAGAGAGAGAGAGAGAGAGAGAGAGACCUGGGAAAUUAAACCAGCCAAAUCUUAUUUCAUUUCUAUCAAUUAUCACCAUUGGUGCACUUGUAACACACAGAAAAAGAAAAAGAAAAGGUGCAUGCAUAUAUAAAUAUAACAAGAUGAAAGAAGAAGAAGAACAAAUGCCUGGCUUUCCCAUGUACGCCCCUAAAUCUUUUGCCCGGUGAAUUCUCCACCGGAAACACUCACACCAAAAAGCUAGACAUACAUAAAUGUCACCCCAAAAGAAACUAAGUAAUUUCUUCUUGCAAUUGAGAGUGCUCAUUUGUCAGAGACCAUGACAAUUUCUUCUUCUUGAUCUUCAUAACUUCUGGUCCUCAAUUGCUGCUCAGAGAAAACCCAAAAACAUGGAGGAAACAGAGAGUGAAAGACAGAUAUAAAAAGGCCAAAUGGGAAAGAGAGGGCAUGGAGAAGUUGUUCCCAAGAAGAUGACGAGCGUUUCCCGUUGAUGUUGUUUUCAAAGGAGCUCGUGGGUUUUAACUUUUCAAUUUUUUUUCUCAAAGGUGGGCCAGGACCAGGUGGUUGGAUAGGAAGGCCCUUUUUGUUUCACACGUUGGGGCUCUUCUUUUUGUCUUCCAGCUGCUGCUGCUUCUGCUGCUGCAACAGUUGAAGAUUUAAGGGCUUUUAAAUGAUCUUCGUUUGCUUUUGUUCUUCCUCUUUGGUUUCCAUCUUGUCAACGAAACCAGCUUGAUUUAGGGAACAAUGUAAAUACAAG